UUCAGCCUACGGGAGGCAGCAGUGAGGAAUAUUGGUCAAUGGGCUUACGCCUGAACCAGCCAAGUCGCGUGAGGGAAGACUGCCCUAUGGGUUGUAAACCUCUUUUGUCAGGGAGCAACGCCGGCUACGUGUAGCCGGACUGAGAGUACCUGAAGAAAAAGCAUCGGCUAACUCCGUGCCAGCAGCCGCGGUAAUACGGAGGAUGCGAGCGUUAUCCGGAUUUAUUGGGUUUAAAGGGUGCGUAGGCGGAGUGUCAAGUCAGCGGUAAAAUUUCGGGGCUCAACCCCGUCGUGCCGUUGAAACUG
rnacentral:rRNA from 1 species